rnacentral:rRNA from 1 species
UACGGAGGGGGCUAGCGUUGUUCGGAAUUACUGGGCGUAAAGCGCAGGUAGGCGGAUCAGAAAGUCAGAGGUGAAAUCCCAGGGCUCAACCUUGGAACUGCCUUUGAAACUCCUGGUCUUGAGGUCGAGAGAGGUGAGUGGAAUUCCGAGUGUAGAGGUGAAAUUCGUAGAGAUUCGGAGGAACACCAGUGGCGAAGGCGGCUCACUGGCUCGAUACUGACGAUGAGGUGCGAAAGAGUGGGGAGCAAACAGG